UUUACAGGCUGAGUGUCUGUUCCCUGAGUAUGAUUAAUACAUUUUGAGCGACCUGAAAGCACGGAAUCUACCAUAAGUAACAACAACAACAACAACAAUAAAACAAAUUUCUUUGCUCCUCAGAUUUCAGAAGUGCCUUUGAUGUCAGCUGGAAAACAAAAAAGAAGAAAAGUGACACCCAGUAGCUUUGUGCAGUAUGGAUCAUCAGUGGGUGACUGUCUAGUCAAUAGACUUGGAGGAAGAAUGAUGGACUGAUGAGAUGGAAAUGAAACUGAAUUACAGAACUCUGCCUUCUAAAAGGUUGAAUCAGGUAA
rnacentral:lncRNA from 1 species